rnacentral:tRNA from 1 species
GCCGAUGUAGCUCAGUGGUAGAGCAACGCUUUCGUAAAGCGUAGGUCGUCAGUUCGAAUCUGACCAUCGGCUCCA